CAGUAGCCGCGGUAUACGGAGGGCGCAAGCGUUAAUCGGAAUUACUGGGCGUAAAGCGCACGCAGGCGGUCUGACAAGUCAGAUGUGAAAUCCCCGGGCUUAACCUGGGAACUGCAUUUGAAACUGUUAGGCUGGAGUCUUGUAGAGGGGGGUAGAAUUCCAGGUGUAGCGGUGAAAUGCGUAGAGAUCUGGAGGAAUACCGGUGGCGAAGGCGGCCCCCUGGACAAAGACUGACGCUCAGGUGCGAAAGCGUGGGGAGCAAACAGGAUUAGAUACCCCUGUAGUCCCUGUCUCUUAUACA
rnacentral:rRNA from 1 species